rnacentral:rRNA from 1 species
AGAGUUUGAUCCUGGCUCAGGAUGAACGCUGGCGGCGUGCCUAAUACAUGCAAGUCGAGCGAACGGACGAGAAGCUUGCUUCUCUGAUGUUAGCGGCGGACGGGGGAGUAACACGUGGAUAACCUACCUAUAAGACUGGGAUAACUUCGGGAAACCGGAGCUAAUCCGGAUAAUAUUUUGAACCGCAUGGUUCAAAAGUGAAAGACGGUCUUGCUGUCACUUAUAGAUGGAUCCGCGCUGCAUUAGCUAGUUGGUAAGGUAACGGCUUACCAAGGCAACGAUGCAUAGCCGACCUGAGAGGGUGAUCGGCCACACUGGAACUGAGACACGGUCCAGACUCCUACGGGAGGCAGCAGUAGGGAAUCUUCCGCAAUGGGCGAAAGCCUGACGGAGCAACGCCGCGUGAGUGAUGAAGGUCUUCGGAUCGUAAAACUCUGUUAUUAGGGAAGAACAUAUGUGUAAGUAACUGUGCACAUCUUGACGGUACCUAAUCAGAAAGCCACGGCUAACUACGUGCCAGCAGCCGCGGUAAUACGUAGGUGGCAAGCGUUAUCCGGAAUUAUUGGGCGUAAAGCGCGCGUAGGCGGUUUUUUAAGUCUGAUGUGAAAGCCCACGGCUCAACCGUGGAGGGUCAUUGGAAACUGGAAAACUUGAGUGCAGAAGAGGAAAGUGGAAUUCCAUGUGUAGCGGUGAAAUGCGCAGAGAUAUGGAGGAACACCAGUGGCGAAGGCGACUUUCUGGUCUGUCACUGACGCUGAUGUGCGAAAGCGUGGGGAUCAAACAGGAUUAGAUACCCUGGUAGUCCACGCCGUAAACGAUGAGUGCUAAGUGUUAGGGGGUUUCCGCCCCUUAGUGCUGCAGCUAACGCAUUAAGCACUCCGCCUGGGGAGUACGACCGCAAGGUUGAAACUCAAAGGAAUUGACGGGGACCCGCACAAGCGGUGGAGCAUGUGGUUUAAUUCGAAGCAACGCGAAGAACCUUACCAAAUCUUAACAUCCUUUGACAACUCUAGAGAUAGAGCCUUCCCCUUCGGGGGACAAAGUGACAGGUGGUGCAUGGUUGUCGUCAGCUCGUGUCGUGAGAUGUUGGGUUAAGUCCCGCAACGAGCGCAACCCUUAAGCUUAGUUGCCAUCAUUAAGUUGGGCACUCUAAGUUGACUGCCGGUGACAAACCGGAGGAAGGUGGGGAUGACGUCAAAUCAUCAUGCCCCUUAUGAUUUGGGCUACACACGUGCUACAAUGGACAAUACAAAGGGCAGCGAAACCGCGAGGUCAAGCAAAUCCCAUAAACUUGUUCUCAGUUCGGAUUGUAGUCUGCAACUCGACUACAUGAAGCUGGAAUCGCUAGUAAUCGUAGAUCAGCAUGCUACGGUGAAUACGUUCCCGGGUCUUGUACACACCGCCCGCCACACCACGAGAGUUUGUAACACCCGAAGCCGGUGGAGUAACCUUUUAGGAGCUAGCCGUCGAAGGUGGGACAAAUGAUUGGGGUGAAGUCGUAACAAGGUAGCCGUAUCGGAAGGUGCGGCUGGAUCACCU